rnacentral:rRNA from 1 species
GACGAACGCUGGCGGCGUGCUUAACACAUGCCAGUCGAACGGAAAGGCCCUGCUUUUGUGGGGUGCUCGAGUGGCGAACGGGUGAGUAACACGUGAGUAACCUGCCCUUGACUUUGGGAUAACUUCAGGAAACUGGGGCUAAUACCGGAUAGGAGCUCCUGCUGCAUGGUGGGGGUUGGAAAGUUUCGGCGGUUGGGGAUGGACUCGCGGCUUAUCAGCUUGUUGGUGGGGUAGUGGCUUACCAAGGCUUUGACGGGUAGCCGGCCUGAGAGGGUGACCGGCCACAAUGGGACUGAGAUACGGACCAGACGCCUACGGGAGGCAGCGGUGGGGAAUAUUGCACAAUGGGCGGAAGCCUGAUGCAGCAACGCCGCGUGCGGGAUGACGGCCUUCGGGUUGUAAACCGCUUUCGCCUGUGACGAAGCGUGAGUGACGGUAAUGGGUAAAGAAGCACCGGCUAACUACGUG